GGCACUAUGGCGGAGUGGUUAACGCGUACGUAAAAAUACAAGUGCUGCCGAAUUAUAUCUUCUAACAAACUCAUAGGAUGCCCUGCUAUACCCUUCUAGGAAAGCCAGGCAUUUCCCUCGGGAGCGUGAGUUCGAAUCUCACUGGUGUCG
rnacentral:tRNA from 1 species